rnacentral:lncRNA from 1 species
UUUAUUUUGAUAACUUAUCAAAUCUAAUCUGGUAAUAACAAGUUACCAUCAUAAGAGAUCCAGAGCAACAAUAUCUAGUUUGAGAUAAGUGAUCAUAUAUUAACCAUAUUCUCUACUUAACAAACCAGAGACAUUACUUAUUUUUUUAAUAGGGAAAAGAGACAUGAUGCUGCUAUAAAAGAAUCCAAGCUUUUAUUGUUGGCUGGCACAGCAAAAUUUCAACCAACAGAAAAAUAAUAUAACAUGGUUUGGAUUAUAGCCUGAACACAGCCC